rnacentral:rRNA from 1 species
GUGGGGAAUCUUGCGCAAUGGGGGAAACCCUGACGCAGCAACGCCGCGUGGGUGAUGAAGGCCUUCGGGUCGUAAAGCCCUGUCAGGUGGGAAGAAUCAUAUCGAUUCGAACAGGGUCGAUAUCUGACGGUACCACCGGAGGAAGCACCGGCUAACUCCGUGCCAGCAGCCGCGGUAAUACGGAGGGUGCAAGCGUUGUUCGGAAUUACUGGGCGUAAAGCGCGUGUAGGCGGUCGAGCAAGUCAGAUGUGAAAGCCUUCCGCUUAACGGAAGAAGUGCAUUUGAAACUACUCGGCUGGAGUACGGGAGAGGAGAGUGGAAUUCCCGGUGUAGAGGUGAAAUUCGUAGAUAUCGGGAGGAACACCAGUGGCGAAAGCGGCUCUCUGGUCCGAUACUGACGCUGAUACGCGAAAGCGUGGGGAGCAAACAGGAUUAGAAACCCUAGUAGUCC